rnacentral:rRNA from 1 species
GAUCAUGGCUCAGGAUGAACGCUGGCGGCGCGCCUAACACAUGCAAGUCGAACGGCACCCCUCUCCGGAGGGAAGCGAGUGGCGAACGGCUGAGUAACACGUGGAGAACCUGCCCCCCUCCCCCGGGAUAGCCGCCCGAAAGGACGGGUAAUACCGGAUACCCCGGGGUGCCGCAUGGCACCCCGGCUAAAGCCCCGACGGGAGGGGAUGGCUCCGCGGCCCAUCAGGUAGACGGCGGGGUGACGGCCCACCGUGCCGACAACGGGUAGCCGGGUUGAG